GACGAACGCUGGCGGCGUGCUUAACACAUGCAAGUCGAGCGACGAAGUUCCUUCGGGAAUGGAUUAGCGGCGGACGGGUGAGUAACACGUGGGUAACCUGCCUCAUAGAGGGGAAUAGCCUUCCGAGAGGAAGAUUAAUACCGCAUAGAUUGUAGUAUCGCAUGAUACAGCAAUUAAAGGAGUAAUCCGCUAUGAGAUGGACCCGCGUCGCAUUAGCUAGUUGGUGAGGUAACGGCUCACCAAGGCGACGAUGCGUAGCCGACCUGAGAGGGUGAUCGGCCACAUUGGGACUGAGACACGGCCCAGACUCCUACGGGAGGCAGCAGUGGGGAAUAUUGCACAAUGGGGGAAACCCUGAUGCAGCAACGCCGCGUGAGUGAUGACGGUCUUCGGAUUGUAAAGCUCUGUCUUCAGGGACGAUAAUGACGGUACCUGAGGAGGAAGCCACGGCUAACUACGUGCCAGCAGCCGCGGUAAAAC
rnacentral:rRNA from 1 species